UUACUGAUGUGAAGUUUGAAAGCUAUUUUCUGAACAUAAAAGAAAGAAAGUCUGACAGGAUUUGUGCAAGGAUACUGAAACACCACGGAUGGAUUGACGUAGAGCUAGUACUGGUAGUGGGGCAAAAGUGGAUGCUGCUAGUAACAGGUAUCGGAGGGGGCAAGGCAAGGGCUAGCUAGCAUAGAGGCGAUUUUAAACUUCAGCGCUUCAAACGUAAGCAGUUCUGCGUCAAAUCAUGUAAAUCAGACCAUCCGCCACCCUCGUACAUGAUAAAGAAUAGCACCAGUAAAAGCAAGCAGUAUCCCACUGUUUUGUGUUGGCUCGAUGAAAGGUGAUAGAAACGAAUUUCCGAAUCACAUUAUGUCGGCUUGGUUGUUGUUGUGGCCAGUCAAUAGACAAGCUUUGAACCGUAGUUCCAUGUAAGUGUCGUGGUUUUCACUGUUUCAGUAUGUAGUUGAAUAUGGUAGAUCUGGGCAACUGGUCAACGCUGUCGUGUUUUGUCUCGGUAGACCUCGUAUGACGGUGUGUUGGGAAAAUACCGGCAGUUGUUUCAGAUGGAGGGUGCGACGUGCCAGAUGUACGCUGUUCGAGGGAUAAAACUGCCACGCACGAGAUUUUGUAGGCAAUGGUAAUUGGUGACGAUACCAUGACGUUUGAAAAGAAGAUUCAAAGUUUGAGUUUUAUGUGGCAGAGUAGAACAGCUGCGUGUGAAGUGUGGCGACUACCAAGGUAUCAACACCAGUUAUGGCUACGGGAUUUUAAAAGUACCUUCAAUGCACUGGGAACUAACGUGCUCUCCCCCUCUCUCUCUCUUCUCUCUUCAUCAGGGCCCAGGUCUUGUGGCCACAUCUGUCCAAGCUCCUACUCUGAUUGAACAGUUGGAUGAUCAGACUGAUGAUGAAAAGUGCUACACAGUUCUCACACAUCUUCUGACUCCGAAGCCGCUGCAGUGUAAAAUCUGAGAUGUCUUUUCUGGUUGAUUUUGUGCAGAUUUCUGACAGCGACAGCGAUGGUGAGGGAAGCAGUGUACCGAACUCUCAGAUGACUCGGACCAGGUGACCAAACCCAUGCAAAGCACAAUGACUGUGCUGAGGCGUUCCGCCCCCCUCCCCCUCCACACCACUCAAGGCACGGCGGCGGCCCAACCGCAAACUAACGGAGAUUAACAUGAGGCUGGAUGCGCUUGGCUCCCUGCUGCGUCCAUCACCAGAGGGGCCGGGAUUGCUGCGGCAGCUAGCCAAUUAAAGGAGGAGGAUGAAGGAGAGGAGUCUGACGAUGCCGACAUCGCCAUCGUAUGCAGUCCACGCCCUCGCAGGAAAACCAGCCAAUGAAAACGCUUGCAGCAGCAUCAGCAGAACACACCGGCACGACUGACAGAGCUUCUGAAGCAUGCAGUGGAAGACCUGUCAGUCAAGCUAAAGGUCCCGCCCUCCAACCUGCUGCUGCUGCACGGAGAGGCGGAACUUAACACCUCACACACUAUUGGCCAGCUAGGACUCUGCAUCGCUGACAUCUUUGUCUGGAACCAACUUCACAU